CCUACGGGAGGCAGCAGUGGGGAAUUUUGCGCAAUGGGGGCAACCCUGACGCAGCAACGCCGCGUGAGUGAUGAAGGCCUUCGGGUCGUAAAGCUCUGUCAGAGGGGAAGAAAUGCAGGUGGUGAACAACCAUUCUGUUUGACGGUACCCUCAAAGGAAGCACCGGCUAACUCCGUGCCAGCAGCCGCGGUAAUACGGAGGGUGCGAGCGUUGUUCGGAAUUAUUGGGCGUAAAGCGCGUGUAGGCGGUUUGUUAAGUCGGAUGUAAAAGCCCCGGGCUAAACCUGGGAAGUGCAUUGGAGACUGGCAGGCUUGAGUACGGGAGAGGAGAGUGGAAUUCCCGGUGUAGGAGUAAAAUCCGUAGAUAUGGGGAGGAACACCGAUGGCGAGGGCGGCCCUCUGGACCGAUACUGACGCUGAGACGCGAAAGCGUGGGGAGCAAACAGGAUUAGAUACCCUGGUAGU
rnacentral:rRNA from 1 species